GAUACGGUGUGUGAACAUCAGCAGCAGAAUGACUCAUCUGAUGUUUCUGGUCUAUUUGUUCGCAUCAAGUGCUUCAUUCUUAUCCGCACAGAUAACAUCAGGAAGUACUAUAUCUAGCACUCCUCCAACGUCAACCAAACCUUUAACAACGUCAACCACACCUUCAACAACAACAACAAAAAUAACUACACAAGUCACGUCUUCAGCAUAUACAUCUGAAGGUACACCAACCUCCCCUUCAACAAUUGUAAGUACUUCUGAACAAUCGACACGUUCUCUAUCAACUGCAAUUUCACCUGAGUUAACUACGUCAACCACGCCUUCAACAACCACAUCAAAAACGACUACACCAGUCACCUCUUCAGAAUAUACAUCCGAACUUACAACAACCUCCCAUUCAAUAAUUGAAAGUACUUCUGAGCAAUCGACACGUUCUCCAACAAUUGCAAGUUUGCCUUCAACAACCACAUCAAAAACGACUACACCAGUCCCCUCUUCAGAAUAUACAUCCGAACUUACAACAACCUCCCCUUCAAUAAUUGAAAGUACUUCUGAGCAAUCGACACAUUCUCCAACAAUUGCAAGUUUGCCUUCAACAACCACAUCAAAAACGACUACACCAGUCCCCUCUUCAGAAUAUACAUCCGAACUUACAACAACCUCCCCUUCAAUAAUUGAAAGUACUUCUGAGCAAUCGACACAUUCUCCAACAAUUGCAAGUUCGCCUUCAACAACCACAUCAAAAACGACUUCACCAGUCCCCUCUUCAGAAUAUACAUCCGAACUUACAACAACCUCCCCUUCAAUAAUUGAAAGUACUUCUGAGCAAUCGACACGUUCUCCAACAAUUGCAAGUUCGCCUUUAACAACCACAUCAAAAACGACUACACCAGUCCCCUCUUCAGAAUAUACAUCCGAACUUACAACAACCUCCCCUUCAAUAAUUGAAAGUACUUCUGAGCAAUCGACACGUUCUCCAACAAUCGCAAGUUUGCCUUUAACAACCACAUCAAAAACGACUACACCAGUCCCCUCUUCAGAAUAUACAUCCGAAUUUACAACAACCUCCUCUUCAAUAAUUGUAAGUACUUCUGAACAAUCGACACAUUCUCCAACAAUUGCAAGUUCACCUUCAACAACCACAUCAAAAACGACUUCACCAGUCCCCUCUUCAGAAUAUACAUCUGAACUUACAACAACCUCCCCUUCAAUAAUUGAAAGUACUUCUGAGCAAUUGACACGUUCUCCAACAAUUGGAAGUUUGCCUUCAACAACCACAUCAAAAACGACUACACCAGUCCCCUCUUCAGAAUAUACAUCCGAACUUACAACAACCUCCCCUUCAAUAAUUGAAAGUACUUCUGAGCAAUCGACACGUUCUCCAACAAUUGCAAGUUUGCCUUCAACAACCACAUCAAAAACGACUACACCAGUCCCCUCUUCAGAAUAUACAUCCGAACUUACAACAACCUCCGCUUCAAUAAUUGAAAGUACUUCUGAGCAAUCGACACAUUCUCCAACAAUUGCAAGUUCGCCUUCAACAACCACAUCAAAAACGACUUCACCAGUCCCCUCUUCAGAAUAUACAUCCGAACUUACAACAACCUCCCCUUCAAUAAUUGAAAGUACUUCUGAGCAAUCGACACAUUCUCCAACAAUUGCAAGUUCGCCUUCAACAACCACAUCAAAAACGACUUCACCAGUCCCCUUCUCAGAAUAUACAUCCGAACUUACAACAACCUCCCCUUCAAUAAUUGAAAGUACUUCUGAGCAAUCGACACGUUCUCCAACAAUUGCAAGUUCACCUUCAACAACCACAUCAAAAACGACUACACCAGUCACCCUUCCAGCAUCAGCUGCAUCAACCAGCAUGCCUAAAACAGUUACAACAACAAAUUCUCCAACAACUGGGAUUGCAAUUGAAAGAACCACAUCAACCUAUCUUCCAACAAGCACAACUAAACCUUCUACAACCUCAAGUAUCCUUGAAACAAGUACAUCAACUCAUGACCCAACCUCAAGUACAGCUAUGAAACCAACCAGCCCUUUUACCAGUACACCUGAGACAACUAUGUCAACCACACCUGAGACAACCACAUCAAAAACUAUAACCUCAGAGAUUUUUCCUGAAAUGAUCACUCAUGUCCCAACAGCUAUGAAACCAACCAGCCCUCCUACAAGUACACCUGAGACAACUAUGUCAACCACACCUGAGACAACCACAACAAAAACUAUAACCUCAGGUUUCUUUGAUAUUUUUCCUCCUACAAGUACAAGUACACCACAUCAUAGUACAUCAACCAACCCCACCACCAGCGGAACUUCAUUUGAUCAAACCACAUCAGAGCAAUCUACACCAAGAGGCCCAUCCACUGCUGACCCAAAUCCACCCCUUCUGAGUAUGACUGCAUAUGCAAACAAUUACUAUACAGCUCAUCAUUUGAUAAAGUUCUGAAGAAGAAAAGUAUUAAGUUUUGUAUUUUGUUUCUGCUUUCAACAGAUUUAACUACAUUGCUCUAUGGAAGUCUCAAGUUGACAACUACAGUUCAAGUUAAUAAUGACACAGC
rnacentral:lncRNA from 1 species